GACGAACGCUGGCGGCGUGCUUAACACAUGCAAGUCGAACGGAAAGGCCCUGCUUUUGUGCGGUGCUCGAGGGGCGAACGGGUGAGUAACACGUGAGUAACCUGCCCUUGACUUUGGGAUAACUUCAGGAAACUGGGGCUAAUACCGGAUAGGAGCUCCUGCUGCAUGGUGGGGGUUGGAAAGUUUCGGCGGUUGGGGAUGGACUCGCGGCUUAUCAGCUUGUUGGUGGGGUAGUGGCUUACCAAGGCUUUGACGGGUAGCAGGCCUGAGAGGGUGACCGGCCCCAUUGGGACUGAGAUACGGCCCAGACUAGUACGGGAGGCAGCAGUGGGGAAUAUUGCACAAUGGGCGGAAGCCUGAUGCAGCAACGCCGCGUGCGGGAUGACGGCCUUCGGGUUGUAAACCGCUUUCGCCUGUGACGAAGCGUGAGUGACGGUAAUGGGUAAAGAAGCACCGGCUAACUACGUG
rnacentral:rRNA from 1 species